rnacentral:lncRNA from 1 species
AAGAAGGAAAAAUGAAAUUUGGUUCAAACUUGACUAUCUGACUAGAAGAUUUGUGUCAGAUUGGUCAAAUGCAAGCCGAAAGGUAAUAGAUAGCCUUUUGACUCGUUUUUGGGGCUAUGCUGCUGAAAAUUCUGUUGAUGUCAUGUUGUUCCAUACAUGUCUGAGGGAUUUAUGGUGCAUCUAAUGCAAAUAAUUCAUCCUUCGAUACCAAGGCUGCUCUAAGUUUGGAAUGUUGAUGGCAUUUGGAAUAAAAAUUUUAGUGUAGGAUGCAUUUCAAGCCGAUAUACUUUGGUUA